UCUACCCUCACGCGACUUCCCGAUACUCCUAACUCUACGUCUAUUUCUUUCUUUAUUCCUCCAAUUAAUACCGUAUUUUAUCUCAUUGAACGAAUAAUACAGUAUUUUAUCUUAUUGAACGAUUGUGAUGAUAAAGAACAGAAAGGAGAGCCUGUGUAGAGGCUACAAACUCUCAGGGUUACAAACAGGACUGCACAGGCCCAAAGUAGCAAUGUAGACCAAUCGUUGGAACCUACUGAGGAUCAAAACAACUCGCAACCACCUUUUUUAGGUCAGACUUAGGCAAUCAACAUAACGUGGAGGGUGCAAACUCUCAGGGUUACAAACAGGACUGCUCUUAUGACAUGUACUAGCCCCCUACGAGAAAAAUAAGCAGAUAUAGGGAUCAUUGUGUACUUUCUUGAGUGCAACUCGCCUCCAACCAGAGGGUGUGACGUCACACACUGCAUUUAUCUAGCAUCAUGUGGGGCGUUGCCUAUCCCUUUCAGAGAUCACCUCAAGUUAUGUCUUGGUGUCUUUUAUCGUCCACCGUCCUCAGAAAAUUCUAUUGAUACUUUCUCAGAUGCACUGCUCACUAUAAAUCAGUCUUGUCUAUCCGAUUUAAUUAUUAUUGGUGACUUCAAUGUUAAUUUCCAUCCUUCGCAUUACAUGUAUGCACACUUGUGUGUAAUUUUUCGGUAUCACAAAUUGUCAAGUGUCCCACUCGUUUUUCGGGCACAGGCCAUUCAUCAACUAUUGAUUUGGUGCUGGUUUCAAGGCCGAACAAUGUGGAAAAUUGUACAUCCAUACCUAAACUAACCAAUUCAGAUCACUUGGGUUUAUUCUUCACCCUGAAAAAAGAAAAAAUACUGUCCCCUCAAAGAAAGAGUUAUCAGAAGACAAGUUUGGAGAUAUUCAUUAGCAGACUAAUUGGGAAAUGGAGUUCUACUCGAAUGACAUUGAUUCCUGUGUGUCAGCUUGGAACUCGUCCUUCCUGCAAAUCAUGGAAGUUAGUAUACCCAUUUUCAAGUAUCAAGGUUAAAGGAAAAAUUCCUUGGAUCAACAAGGAAAUUAUCAGAGCGAUAACCAAGAGAAAUAUACUUUUUAAGAGAUCUAAAUUAUCGAAUCAAGCUGGUGAUGCUAAGAGGUUUAAAAACCAAAGAAAUCUUGUGGUAUCUAUGAUUCGAAAAAGUAAGAAGAACUUCGACAGAUUGAAUACUAAAGAUGAUAACUGUUUUGGAAAACAAUAAAAACCCUGAAUGGUAACACUUGUUCGAUCCCUACACUCAAAGAGAAUGGCAGGACAUUUGACAAACCAAUUGAAAAAGCCACUGCACUUAACAUUUUUUUCCAUUCUUGUUUCAAUCUCAAGUGUCCUCCACUAGAAAUAGAUGACUCCGCUGACCAAUUUGCUGACCUACACCCUUCUGAUUGCCCAAAAGAUCUGCUGUGUACAGAACAGGAAGUAUAUGAAUAUCUUGAGAAUUUCAGGGGGCUGAAUAUUCACUCCUAGAAACUGAUGAAGGAGAGAAGAAAAGGAAGCAAAUGUGUUUAUUUUACAGUCACAGAGCAAAGGUCAGCAGCUCAAGGAAAAAAAGAGAGGACGAGAGUCAGCAACCUCGCCUUGGCCUAUCAGACUCUGGCAAGGCUCAGAAAUGAAUAAUGCAUGAGCAGAUACUUCCAAAAGGUUUGGGAACUUUCGAAGUACUUUGGAUGCAGAGAUGAAGCGCCUUCAUGGAACGGGUUUAGUAGGAUACGUCCCAAAGGCUACCAGCUUUAUGCCAGACGCUGAUGAACUGUCUGGGACUGCAUGACAUGGACCUAGACGCUAGCGCUAUGGACCAGGACGGUGAAAGACCAGGCACUGUGUGACUCUGAUCGUUCACCGAGCCACACCUUCUCUCUGAUGUCAACAGUAUCAGGGGGUGGACCGUCUGGUGGAAGUGGGUCUGUCCAACGAUGACGGAGAUGAACUUCCUGAUGACAAAAGUGUGUCAUCGGAUGAUGGACUGUCCGGCGACGAUGAAAAUUUGUUGAUGUCUGACAGUGAAGGUUCCCGUACCCAAGAGUGGUGAUCCAUCACUUCAAAAAACACGUGAAAGCACUUCUGGAGGAGCACAUGAAAUUACAUUCACCAAUUUCCCCAAGGCAAUGGGGCUUUAUGUCGUCACGUUCAACUGUGUCAGCUCUCAUUCAAGUGAUUGAUGACUGGAGCAGGGCUGUCGACGGGGGAUAUGAGGCAGCCAUCGUUCCAAUCCUCUAAAUGUGAAGUUCAUUGCCUGGCAACUGAGGGACAUUUUUCUUAUUACAAGAAUUUUAGAAGGCCAGCGAAUAUGUAGGUCCUUUGUUCCUUAAAGAUGAAGAUGUCAUCAAAGUAAGGUCCCUGUUGGGACACAGUGCCUGCCCCAACCACCCCCAAUCUGCUUUUCUGAUCUAUUAUAAUCGAUAAUUAGAAGGAGAAAUGGAUGCAUUAUAAAAUGUGUAUAUAUGGCCAGAGAAAAGACAACAAGGAUGAAUGGAGUAUAUCUAUAGUAAGUGCGCAGUAUCUGGCUGGACCAGCUAGUCACACUAUGAUUAUAAUAUAGUAUCUAUACUGAGAGGAGUGUCACUCCUGUAUAGAGAUAAGAGAUGCCAAGAGGCAGCAAUAUGCUACCGUGAGGUAACGGCCCCAAUCCAGGAAUUAAUGGAGCAGCUGUGCGCUCAAGUAAGUACAGUGUACAGAGAGAAAAGAUUCCAAGAUGCGACAAUGCUAGACGUAGCUAUGAAAAAUAAUGGUUCGUUGUGGAUGCUCAUUUGAGAUUAUAGUAUGGCGAGUGGCAUACCACGGUCUUAUGACGACAGUAUAGUAAUUAUAGUAUGACAUUUUGAAAGGAAAAAUUUAUUUUACAACACAAGAAUUUUAGAUGGCCAGCGCCAAAGCUCAAAAGCUCAAAAGGAAAACAGGAGUACCUGUUUUACAUGUGCUCAUUCGCCACUUCUGCGGUAGGUGAUAUUCUCACACUCGACAUGUUUAUUAAAUUGACAGUGAUGGUCUGUAUGACACUGUGUAUUAUACACCUGUGCAGGUCCUUCGUUCUCUGAGAACUAUUAUGAAUACAAGGCAGUGGUUUUGAAUGGUCGUCGCCUGGUCCCUCCACCCCAUCAAGUGUGAGCAUUAGCAGUUUUCACACUGUUUUUCCCAAUGUAGGCAUUGUCAUUUUUGUGUCGAAGCCCUCAUACGAUAAAACAGUUUAACAGAUGUGAGAGAUAGGAAUAACUGGACUCUUCUUCACUCAUACUCUGAUGAAUGUAACUAAUCAUAAGUUUAAAAUAAAAAUGAAGAGACAAAUGUUCUUGAAGCAGUCAAACGCAAACAAAAAAAUCAUGCGUGUAUAUACAUUUGUUGUGGGUUUAUGGUUUACACACACAUUGAGUGUCAGUGAACACAGAUAUGCACAGUUGUGCACAUUAAAACACACUAAAAAUUACCAGUGAAAAGUAGUGCGCUAUUUAACACACCAUUUUAACAAUGUAUAUAGUGCAACAAGGCAUACACUGCAAAAAAGGCUUCUUUAAAACAAAAUAAUAAUUAUUAUCAUUAUUUUUAUAAAAAUGGAUGAAUGGAGUAUAUCUGGAUGCGAUACUCAUUCAUAAAGAUGAAGAUGUCAUCAAAGUAAGGACACGGUGCCUGCCCCAACCACCCCCUGAUCAAGAAGGAGAAAUGGAUGUGUCCAGACAAUAUGUGCUAACUGUGAGAAAAGCUCUGUCAAGUGUCCCGAAUGUCCCGAAUGUACAUGUGAGCACGUGAAUCCCUUCAAUAAAAAAAAACAGUACAAGUAUUAUGCAGAAAAGGGCAUGAUAUAAACCAAGAACGUGAUGGUCAACAAAGUAUACCUCUUACACUGGUGGUGUGCAUUUUAAGUCUAUGUUCCAUUUUAUUGUUUGUUUAUUCUUGCAGAGUGUUUCUGAAGAUGUUUCCACCAGUACCAAGGAUGACAGUGGAUUGGCUUAUAGCAGCUCAGGUGUUGAUGUCGAAGACAAUACAGUUAGUAUAUCACUCCAUAUGGCGUAUGUUUUUUACAGAGUGACAGUGGUAACGAGAGAACCAUCAUCAUUAAUCAUACCGUGUUAUAAUGUAUAUACCUUUGUUCAGAGGCAACUGAUGAUGAUGGCCAGACUGCUCUUGACGUUGCUUAUUGGAGUGAUCACACUGAAAUUGUUGACUGAAAUUACCUCCAAUCUCUACCAAACUACGAUUAUGAGUACAUGUUGUGGUCCAACCCUAACCCUGCCAACAUGACAACGAUAAAAGAAAUGACUGGUGCUCCUCGGAAGGCUUAUUGGAGUGAUCACACUGAAAUUGUUGACUGAAAUUACCUCCAAUCUCUACCAAACUACGAUUAUGAGUACAUGUUGUGGUCCAACCCUAACCCUGCCAACAUGACAACGAUAAAAGAAAUGACUGGUGCUCCUCGGAAGGCAUACAGGUUCGUAAAAGCUGUCAGCUUAAGUUACUAAAUUUUAUAGUCGUGUGGCUGAUGCCGAUAGUAUCAAGCCAUCAUUCCUCUCUCCGUAUACUGGAAAACUUGUGCACUUCGUCAUUUGCCCCAGCCACCAGGUUUGUAGUAACGAACGUGUGUACUCACGCGCUCACACAGCUGAAAAAUAUGAUUUCAACUCUCUUUCAAUCAAGACCCGCAAAACGUGGGGGUACAAGAGCAUUCAAAGUCGGUAAUGUCACCUUUGGUUGGUCGAUCAUUGAAGAUAUGUACUCAAGAGAAGUAUCUCGUAUCCAAGCUAGCCAGUGCUCAAGAGUGCCCAAACUCAAAAAGAGCUACAUAAUUCGAGACUCAUGGACCCGACUAAACGUAUUACCGUCCAAGGUUAUGCAGGUACAAAAGUGAGAGUUUUUGAGAAAGAUGGAACUACAAUAUGCAGAAUGACGGAAGGAUUCGAAUUCUUCACACAGUGGGCAAAAGAGAGCGAAAAAGAUGAAGAUAAACGAACAUUUUUGGCAUGGCAGACCUGGGAUUUGAUGCGUAUCAUGUGGUAUGGCCUAGUUAAUGACUUCACUACCUCUAACCCUGGCUACUAUAUCAACCCCAGAAGAGUAAAUGGCAGCGCUACAGAGACAAUUUUUGGACAGCUAAAGCAGACCACAAGCAGUAAUCUAACCGCAGCUAAUUAUGAAACAGCUAAGGCAACUCUCCUUACAAAACAACAGUCAAGUUCCAAAGACGGUGAACAGUAUCGAUCAGCUAAACUGUAUUUGAGACAGUCGAACUUAUCAAAGGAGACCAAUUAUAUACAAUAAUUAUUUACCGUCACUUGAAUACAAUUUUAUUGUGUGUGUUUUUUUAAACUUUCAAUUCAUCUCUUAAGGAUACACUACCGUCUACUGAUUUGUUUUGGGUAAUGCAUGACAGUUUUCCUAUAUUA